AGUGAACGCUGGCGGUAGGCCUAACACAUGCCAGUCGAACGGCAGCACAGUCAGAGCUUGCUAUUACGGGUGGCGAGUGGCGGACGGGUGAGGAAUACAUCGGAAUCUACUUUUUCGUGGGGGAUCACGUAGGGAAACUUACGCUAAUACCGCAUACGACCUACGGGUGAAAGCAGGGGAUGUUCGGACCUUGCGCGAUUGAAUGAGCCGAUGUCGGAUUAGCUAGUUGGCGGGGUAAAGGCCCACCCAGGCGACGAUCCGUAGCUGGCCUGCGAGGAAGAUCAGCCACACUGGAAUUGAGACACGGUCCAGACUCCUACGGGAGCCAGCAGUGGGGAAGAUUGGACAAUGGGCGCAAGCCUGAUCCAGCCAGACCGCGUGGGUGAAGAAGGCCUUCGGGUUGUAAAGCCCUUUUGUUGGGAAAGAAAAGCAGCAGGUUAAUACCCCGCUGUUCUGACGGGACCCAAAGAAUAAGCACCGGCUAACUUCGU
rnacentral:rRNA from 1 species